CAGUAGCCGCGGUAAUACGUAGGUGGCAAGCGUUGUCCGGAAUUAUUGGGCGUAAAGGGCUCGCAGGCGGUUUCUUAAGUCUGAUGUGAAAGCCCCCGGCUCAACCGGGGAGGGUCAUUGGAAACUGGGAAACUUGAGUGCAGAAGAGGAGAGUGGAAUUCCACGUGUAGCGGUGAAAUGCGUAGAGAUGUGGAGGAACACCAGUGGCGAAGGCGACUCUCUGGUCCGUAACUGACGCUGAGGAGCGAAAGCGUGGGGGGCGAACAGGAUUAGAUACCCCCGUAGUCCCUGUCUCUUAUAC
rnacentral:rRNA from 1 species